UGGUUCCGGCAUCGAUGAAGAACGCAGCGAAAUGCGAUAACUAGUGUGAAUUGCAGAAUUCCGUGAAUCAUCGAGUCUUUGAACGCACAUUGCGCCCCCUGGUAUUCCGGGGGGCAUGCCUGUCCGAGCGUCAUUGCUGCCCAUCAAGCACGGCUUGUGUGUUGGGUCGUCGUCCCCUCUUCGGGGGGGACGGGCCCCAAAGGCAGCGGCGGCACCGCGUCCGAUCCUCGAGCGUAUGGGGCUUUGUCACCCGCUCUGUAGGCCCGGCCGGCGCUUGCCGAACGCAAAACAACCAUUCUUUCCAGGUUGACCUCGGAUCAGGUAGGGAUACCCGCUGA
rnacentral:misc_RNA from 1 species